GAUGAACGCUGGCGGCGUGCUUAACACAUGCAAGUCGAACGGAAAGGCCCAAGCUUUCUUGGUUACUCGAUUGGCGAACGGGUGAGUAACACGUGGGUGAUCUGCCCUGCACUUCGUGAUAAGCCUGGGAAACUGGGUCUAAUAUCGGAUAUGACCACAUUUUGCAUGGUGCGGUGGAAAGAUAUUCGGUGUGGGAUGAGCUCGAGGCCUAUCCGCCUGUUGGUGAGGUAAUGGCAUACGAAGGCGUAGACGGGUACCCGGCAUGGGAGGGGGUACGGCGACAUGGGGACUGAGAGACGGCCCAGACUGCUAUGGGAGGCAGUGGUGGGGAAUAUGACACAAUGGGCGCAAGCCUGAUGAAGCGACGCCGCGUGCGGGAUGACGGCCUUCGGGUUGUAAACUACUUUCGCUAGAGACGAAGCGCAAGUGACGGUACCUGGAGAAGAAGCACCGGCUAACUACGUG
rnacentral:rRNA from 1 species